CGGGCUGGGCGGCUCCCCUUCCCCCCCCAAGCUACCCCCUCCAGGACCCCGUCAUCCUCCUCAACCGCUCCAAGCCUGCCUGGCACACAGUAGGUGCUUAAUAGGUGUGUUAAGUGGCUGCGCACACAGGAGCGCCCCCAGAUACCUCGUGGAAGGCAUAGGCACAUUUUGUUGCCAUGACAGAGCCAGGCCCGGCCUGUGGUACGCUGUCCACAGAAGGGGAAACUGAGGCCAGCCGUCCCCAGUCGCCCAGGAGAACACGCAGCGGGAGAAGCAGUCCCAACGUCUGCACCCAGGAGAGAGGCCGAUGAGCGACGCUGCACGUAGCGUGGAGCGCCACACGACUGUGAGCGUGAGUGAGUGGAUGGGCGUGGCCUGCAGGACGUAUGGUUAAGGGGGUGGGGGCGGGGGAUACAAAAGGCUAUACGUAGGGUGCUACCUUCUGCAAAGCAAAGAAGGGGAAAUAAGGCCCCGAUCUGCUUGCUUUUGCAAAAGACACACAGGACAGAUAAACCAGGAACCCGUGAAAUUGGUUCCCUGCGGGGGGUAGGGGGGCGGGUAGAGUUGAAAUAAAUGGACAGCGGUGGGACUGACACCCUACGAGCAUUCCUCAUAGUUUUCAAGCUCUGAGUACACUUGCCAUAGUUUACAAUGAAAUUAACUCAACAAGGGUGCAGGGGAAAAGCUCCAGGAUGUGGAUCAGAAACAGAAAACAGGUGAAACGAACUGUGUUUCAGAUGAAAACCAUGACCGCCCAGAAAUAGAGGAGAACCAGCCCGUGCAACCUUUGGGCACGACACUUUUUCUAAAGAUGAAAGGAACUGACAAAAAAAAAAAAAAAUGACGUUGUUUAGUACAUUUGUUUUCAGGACUGGCAGGGUGUAGUCAUUCUGAAAGUCUCAUGUGUAUUAUGGGACUGAGCAAAGUAGCGAGGGUACUGAUGUUAGUAAGAAGCAGGUCUUGGGGCGCCUGGGUGGCUCAGUCGGUUGAGCGUCCGACUUCGGCUCGGGUCAUGAUCUCACGGUCCACGAGUUCGAGCCCUGCGUCGGGCUCUGUGCGGACAGCUGGGAGCCCGGAGCCUGCUUCGGAUUCUGUGUGUCUCUCUCUCUGCCCUCCCCUGUUCACGCUCUGUCUCUGUCUCAAGAAUAAAUAAACAUUAAAAAAAAAAAAAAGAAGAAGAAGCAGGUGUUCACAGAGGAGCAUAUAAGACGUCAACAUUGGUAGGAGAGCACACGAAACAACCCCGGAGGGAAAGUAUCAGCGAGGACCGUGACGAUUUACUUUAUUUCAGUUUUUUAAGUUUCUUUAUCUUGAGCGAGACAGAGAGAGAGAAUCCCAAGCAGCCUCCACACCAUCAGCACAGAGCCCAAUGUGGGGCUUGAACUCACGAACAGUGAGAUCAUGACCUGAGCCGAAACCAAGAGUCGGAUGCUUAACCUACUGAGCCACCCUGGUGCCCCGGGCCCCGUGAUGAUUUAGACAAAAAUCUAUUUCAUAACUCUGUCCACUGAGACCAGCCAAUAACAACAGUUACAUCUAGCCCCUAGAUCAGAUCUUGGCUUUUGAAUAUCGCCUCCAGGGCUCCUGGGAGAAAUGGCUGAUUCUGGGAGUGGGGCAGGGAGAGUGCCACGCGAGCCUGGAAGUUCAUGGUGGGCCAGGAAGUCAGGACGGGGACCUGUCAGAGACACAGGGGCCAGCCUGACAGGGCGGCUGCUGGCCAAGCCUGGAGCGGUCUGGGCAUCGGUACUGAGCGACCUUAAAAUUGAGAGAGACUCAAAGUAGUGGUUGGCGCCAAGGGGGGGGGGGGGGGACAGCCAGUGUUCGAUGGGGACAGAGUUCAGUUUCACAAGAGAUGGACGGCUGCACAGCACUGGGGAUGGUUUAACGCCACUGAACUGGGCAUUGGAAGUGGUUGAGAUGGUCAAUUUUAUGUUCAAGUGCGGUUUAUCCCAAUAAAACCAAUUAGGGGA